rnacentral:rRNA from 1 species
UACGGAGGGUGCAAGCGUUGCUCGGAAUUAUUGGGCGUAAAGGGUAGGUAGGUGGUCUCAUUUGUCUGGGGUGAAAUCCUUGAGCUUAACUCAAGAAGUGCCCCAGAAACGGUGAGACUUUCGAGUCCUGGAGAGGCUAGUGGAAUUCCCGGUGUAGCGGUGAAAUGCGUAGAGAUCGGGAGGAACACCAGAGGCGAAGGCGGCUAGCUGGACAGGCACUGACACUGAACUACGAAAGCGUGGGGAGCAAACAGG